UGAACUCUGCACUUUUUUUUCAAGCAAACAUGUUUGUCUCAAGGGGACACUCCCUGAGGACAAAACAUAGACCUCAGGCUUCUCUGCAAAGCUCCCAGACUCGGCUGGUCAGAGGAAAGGAGCAGCCGGGAGAGGCGGCCCUAAGGGACCGGGAGGCCAGGAAUGGAAGGAAGCACAUGCCCCUAACGCAGCAGCUGGUGUCACAGCCUGAUGAGAAACAAUGCAAGAUCUGAAAAUCCAUCGAGUUGGCUGGGGACACGCAGCUCAGCCAGGACAAAGACCCACAGCUUCCAUCACAGAUGUCAGUUGCAGCAAUGAGAAACUGAAGUCAGAGAAGGGAAGACAAGGGAUUGGCACACGCAUCCCUCCAAGGUGUGGGCUAGCCUGCUGGGAUAUGAGAGACAUAUGAAGCAGAGUCAAGAGACCCUGACAAUACAGUCGUGGCCAACCAAACUUAUCCUGUAGCUCGCCACCUCCCCAGAUGCGUGAUCAGGCUGAGCUGGUUUCAACAGAGCUGACGAGCUGAGCACCCCGGUCACGAGUAAUAAACAGGCAUUGUCAUAA